rnacentral:rRNA from 1 species
UACGAAGGGGGGCUAGCGUUGCUCGGAAUCACUGGGCGUAAAGGGUGCGUAGGCGGUUCAGUAAGUCGGGUGUGAAAACUUUGGGCUUAACCCAAAGCGUGCAUCCGAUACUGCUGUGACUUGAGUACGGUAGGGGAGCGGGGGAAUUCCUAGUGUAGCGGUGAAAUGCGCAGAUAUUAGGAGGAACACCGGUGGCGAAGGCGCCGCUCUGGGCCGAAACUGACGCUGAGGAGCGAAAGCAUGGGUAGCAAACAGG